UACGUAGGUUCCGAGCGUUAUCCGGAUUUACUGGGCGUAAAGCGCGUUCAGGCGGUUCGGCAAGUCGGGCAUGAAAUCUCUCGGCUCAACCGGGAGAGGUUGUCCGAUACUGUUGGACUUGAGGGCAGUAGAGGGUGGUGGAAUUCCGGGUGUAGUGGUGAAAUGCGUAGAUAUCCGGAGGAACACCAGUGGCGAAGGCGGCUCUCUGGAACGGUACUGACGCUGAGACGCGAAAGCGUGGGGAGCGAACAGG
rnacentral:rRNA from 1 species